UGAUUUUUUAUUUAAUUGUCAAUUAAUCAUUGACACCAAUGUAAAAUUAAUUAAUCAGAGAAUAACAUAGCUCAUCAGAUUUUAUCAGAUUUUACACUGGUGUCGAUGAGAUAGAUGAGAUGUUGCAUGAUGUAAAAUGUGUAUUAUUGCUAUAAUUGUCAACAUUUAACCAAUACACAAUUCUUCUACAUGAUACAACAUCUCAUCUCUCAUUGACACUAAUAUAAAAUCAGAGAACUAUUUUAUUAAUUUUACAUUGUUUUAAUGUAAGUUGCUCGGAUCAGAAUUCAGCUUGUGUCAAGUGACAUGUGUAGUGGAGGUUAAAUCGUUUAUUUAUCGAAAUAGAUGAGAUGUUGCGUGAUGUAAAUUAUUGCUGUAAUUGUCAAUCAAUGAUAAUGUUGUAAGGAUAAGAAUUUUAAUAAACAUGUGGGUCGGCAGUAACUCGUUCACGCUACGCGCCAGCUUUCAUCAAGGGUGCGUUUUUAAAUUCGCAACGGAUGCACUGGAGUGUCAUCCUAUCUUUGUUCAACUUUCCGUAAGUAACAAAGAUGGAAUGACAUUCUGGUGUAUCUGGCAGCAUCCGUUGCGAAUUUAAGAACGCAUCCCAAAUGACGUGUAGUGUUAAUAAAAUAAUGUCAACUGUUUCAAAAUUGCUGUCUGUACUGAUACAUACAUUAUAGAUAGAUUUUCAGUACUGAGAGCAAUUUUGAAACAUAGUCUUUAUUGUGCUUUAAUUUAAUUUAUAAUCAUGUUAAUAGAUAAAAACUCGGGGUGACGGAGAGUAGGAGAGAGAGAGAAAGAGAAAGAGAGAGAGAGAGAGAGAGAGAGAGAGAGAGAGAGAGAGAGAAAGAGAAUUAUAUGUGUCUUUUCUGAACACAGCGCAUUAUCACCGAUAGCUCAGUGAACAGCAAUUCAUUAUUUAAUGAUUUUUCAGUGGAAACUCAGGAUGAGAGAGACAAAGAGCAGGAGAGAAAGAGAGAAGGAAUUAUAUAUGUGAUCUAAACCAGCGAAACAUGAAUGAUGACAGUAUAUUACCAUCGAUAGCUCAGUGGAGAUAUUAUUAUUUAAUGAUUCUUUAGGCAAGUCGCACAUUACGUAUCUGUAUCACAUUUUCAUGAAGUAAUUUAUAAUUAAAAAUGUAUCCUGCAAAUAUUUUAA